AGAGCAGACUAUGCGGUUGCGUGGACGUUUAGUUCACGAGGAAAGUCCGGGCAUCAUAGAGCAGGAUAACUGCUAACGACAGCCGGAGGUGACUCUAGGGCUAGUGCAACAGAAAAGAGACUGCCAUAUAUUUUAAUAUAUGGCGAUGGUGGAAUGGCGAGGUAAAAGCUCACCAGAAUAUAGGCGACUAUAUUGCUGUGUAAACCCUAUCCGAUGCAACGUUGAUAUGGUAUGAAUUUAUUUUAACGCUUGCUCGGCGAAUAAAUUCAUAGCAACGGCUUGACUUUUGUGGCGACACAAAAGCUAGAUAAAUAACCGCACACGACAGAACCCGGCUUAUCGGUCUGGUCAGGAA
rnacentral:RNase_P_RNA from 1 species